CCUCCUAGGUGAGCCAGACUUUGUGGACAAGGCAACUAGGUUCACUAAAAGUACUGCCAGUUAACCCAGUGCAGGGACUUCAGGCACAGACACAGUCAAACGACGACCAUCCAGUCCCUCUCCAAUCAUGACAUCCAACCUCCAUACCCCAGGCUGGCACAGUGACAAUCCGUCUGCAGGCAAGAGGCCCAAGAAAGACUCUAAUGAAUCCUCAUCCCAAAGCAAUCUGCCAAGUCCCCCUCCUGUGUCUCCCCGCUAUCAUCAUACAGCUCCCACUGGUGAACCGAGAACCUCAAAAUCUUCUGAAUCUGGCCGUGUGACCAGAAAGGAGUUUGAUGAAUUGACGGAAAAUGUCAAGAAGCUGCGCCGUCGGGUCCACCAGCUGGAGAAGGAGGCGAAGGAGGGCAGCGCGAAAGCGAGUCACUCAGCGAGCU